GAAUGCUGACAUAAGUAACGAUAAAGCGGGUGAAAAGCCCGCUCGCCGGAAGACCAAGGGUUCCUGUCCAACGUUAAUCGGGGCAGGGUGAGUCGACCCCUAAGGCGAGGCCGAAAGGCGUAGUCGAUGGGAAACGGGUUAAUAUUCCCGUACUUGGUGUUACUGCGAAGGGGGGACGGAGAAGGCUAUGUUGGCCGGGCGACGGUAGUCCCGGUUUAAGCGUGUAGGCUGGUUUUCCAGGCAAAUCCGGAAAAUCAAGGCUGAGGCGUGAUGACGAGGCACCACGGUGCUGAAGCAACAAAUGCCCUGCUUCCAGGAAAAGCCUCUAAGCAUCAGGUAACAUCAAAUCGUACCCCAAACCGACACAGGUGGUCAGGUAGAGAAUACCAAGGCGCUUGAGAGAACUCGGGUGAAGGAACUAGGCAAAAUGGUGCCGUAACUUCGGGAGAAGGCACGCUGACACGUAGGUGAAGUGAUUUACUCACGGAGCUGAAGUCAGUCGAAGAUACCAGCUGGCUGCAACUGUUUAUUAAAAACACAGCACUGUGCAAACACGAAAGUGGACGUAUACGGUGUGACGCCUGCCCGGUGCCGGAAGGUUAAUUGAUGGGGUCAGCGCAAGCGAAGCUCCUGAUCGAAGCCCCGGUAAACGGCGGCCGUAACUAUAACGGUCCUAAGGUAGCGAAAUUCCUUGUCGGGUAAGUUCCGACCUGCACGAAUGGCGUAAUGAUGGCCAGGCUGUCUCCACCCGAGACUCAGUGAAAUUGAACUCGCUGUGAAGAUGCAGUGUACCCGCGGCAAGACGGAAAGACCCCGUGAACCUUUACUAUAGCUUGACACUGAACAUUGAGCCUUGAUGUGUAGGAUAGGUGGGAGGCUUUGAAGCGUGGACGCCAGUCUGCGUGGAGCCGACCUUGAAAUACCACCCUUUAAUGUUUGAUGUUCUAACGUGGACCCGUAAUCCGGGUUGCGGACAGUGUCUGGUGGGUAGUUUGACUGGGGCGGUCUCCUCCUAAAGAGUAACGGAGGAGCACGAAGGUUGGCUAAUCCUGGUCGGACAUCAGGAGGUUAGUGCAAUGGCAUAAGCCAGCUUGACUGCGAGCGUGACGGCGCGAGCAGGUGCGAAAGCAGGUCAUAGUGAUCCGGUGGUUCUGAAUGGAAGGGCCAUCGCUCAACGGAUAAAAGGUACUCCGGGGAUAACAGGCUGAUACCGCCCAAGAGUUCAUAUCGACGGCGGUGUUUGGCACCUCGAUGUCGGCUCAUCACAUCCUGGGGCUGAAGUAGGUCCCAAGGGUAUGGCUGUUCGCCAUUUAAAGUGGUACGCGAGCUGGGUUUAGAACGUCGUGAGACAGUUCGGUCCCUAUCUGCCGUGGGCGCUGGAAGACUGAGGGGGGCUGCUCCUAGUACGAGAGGACCGGAGUGGACGCAUCACUGGUGUUCGGGUUGUCAUGCCAAUGGCACUGCCCGGUAGCUAAAUGCGGAAAAGAUAAGUGCUGAAAGCAUCUAAGCACGAAACUUGCCCCGAGAUGAGUCUUCCCUGAGACUUUGAGUCUCCUGAAGGAACGUUAAAGACGAUGACGUUGAUAGGCCGGGUGUGUAAGCGCAGCGAUGCGUUGAGCUAACCGGUACUAAUGAACCGUGAGGCUUAACCUUACA
rnacentral:rRNA from 1 species